rnacentral:rRNA from 1 species
UACGUAGGCAGCAAGCGUUGUUCGGAAUUACUGGGCGUAAAGAGUGUGUAGGCGGUGCUCCAAGUCUGGUGUGAAAUCUCCCGGCUCAACUGGGAGGGUGCGCUAGAAACUGGAAUGCUAGAGGAUGGGAGAGGUAAGCGGAAUUCCUGGUGUAGCGGUGAAAUGCGUAGAUAUACAGGAGGAACACCUGUGGUGUAGACAGCUUACUGGACCAUUUCUGACGCUGAGACACGAAAGCGUGGGUAGCAAACGGG